UACGGGGGGGGCAAGCGUUGUUCGGAAUUACUGGGCGUAAAGGGCUCGUAGGCGGCCAACUAAGUCAGACGUGAAAUCCCCAGGCUCAACCUGGGAACUGCGUCUGAUACUGGAUGGCUUGAAUUCGGGAGAGGGAUGCAGAAUUCCCGGUGUAGCGGUGAAAUGCGCAGAUAUCGGGAGGAACACCGGUGGCGAAGGCGGUUCUCUGGGCCUUACCUGACGCUGAGGAGCGAAAGCGUGGGGAGCGAACAGG
rnacentral:rRNA from 1 species